rnacentral:piRNA from 1 species
UAGCAAAAGCAAGGUGCAGUGGUGCUAGA